rnacentral:rRNA from 1 species
UACGAGUGCCCCAAGCGUUAUCCGGAAUCAUUGGGCGUAAAGGGUGUGUAGGUGGUUGUGUUAGUCUUCUGUUAAAUUCUUCGGCUUAACCGGGGCAUGCAGGGAAACGGCACAACUAGAGGAUGCGAGAGGUGAAUGGAACUCAUGGAGUAGGGGUGAAAUCCGUUGAUAUCAUGGGGAACACCGAAUGCGAAGGCAAUUCACUGGCGCACUCCUGACACUGAGACACGAAAGCGUAGGUAGCGAAUGGG